rnacentral:rRNA from 1 species
CCCCUAGAUGUUCUGGGCCGCACGCGCGCUACACUGAACAGUUCAACAAGUCUUAACCUUGGCCGAUAGGUCUGGGUAAUCUUUGAACGCUGUUCGUGAUUGGGAUAGACCUUUGCAAUUAUGGGUCUUCAACGAGGAAUUCCUAGUAAACGCAAGUCAUCAGCUUGCAUUGAUUACGUCCCUGCCCUUUGUACACACCGCCCGUCGCACCUACCGAUUGAAUGGUCCGGUGAAAUCUCGGGACGGCGGCUUGGUCGCUUGCGUCCGACUGCUGAAACUUGAUUAACCCAUAUCAUUUAGAGGAAGGUGAAGUCGUAACA